rnacentral:ncRNA from 1 species
ACUGUUCCCUGGGAUUGGCUUUGGGCCUUUCUUGCACAGCUUAGGUGGAGGGUGAAUAAGGCCUCCUUCCAGCGGGGGUGGGGGAGGGGGCGCGAGCCAUCAGUGAGAUACCAAUUUGGAAGAGUUAGAAUUCUAACCUUAUGUCAAGACUUACGGGCCAAGGGACAGUCUCAGGUAGACAGUUUCUAUGGGGCAUAG